GGCGGCGUGCCUAAUACAUGCAAGUCGAACGAGAGCGACCGGUGCUUGCACUGGUCAAUCUAGUGGCGAACGGGUGAGUAACACGUGGGUAACCUGCCCAUCAGAGGGGGAUAACAUUCGGAAACGGAUGCUAAAACCGCAUAGGUCUUCGAACCGCAUGGUUUGAAGAGGAAAAGAGGCUUCGGCUUCUGCUGAUGGAUGGACCCGCGGUGCAUUAGCUAGUUGGUGAGGUAACGGCUCACCAAGGCCGUGAUGCAUAGCCGACCUGAGAGGGUGAUCGGCCACAUUGGGACUGAGACACGGCCCAAACUCCUACGGGAGGCAGCAGUAGGGAAUCUUCCGCAAUGGACGCAAGUCUGACGGAGCAACGCCGCGUGAGUGAAGAAGGAUUUCGGUUCGUAAAACUCUGUUGUUAGAGAAGAACAGCGCAUAGAGUAACUGUUAUGCGUGUGACGGAUCUAACCAGAAAGCCACGGUA
rnacentral:rRNA from 1 species